rnacentral:misc_RNA from 1 species
ACACCCCUCAAGCCCCCGGGCUUGGUUUUGGACGGUUUGGUCCAGGUCACCUGGACCCCUCCUAAAGACAAUGACGGCGGCCUCGUUGGACCCCCGGUACACUGAGCUUCUUAACUGAGCACGUAUCGGAUCUAGGGUGCGCGAGCCACGGUCUUAUACCCCCCUUUUUUCUAA